rnacentral:rRNA from 1 species
GGUAUUGAAAUAAGAUUUUAAAUGAGUGCUAAGAGAAUGAUUAAACAAUUAAAAGCUUUCUUUAAUUAAAAAAUUAAAUUUAAUUUUUUUAGUGCAAAAGCAAAAAUAAAAUUUAGGGACAAGAAGACCCUAUGAAUUUUUUAUUGUUAAUAAUUAAUAUUUAAGUUAUUAAUAAUUUAAUUGGGGCGAUAAAAAAAGAAUAAGUAUCUUUUUAGUUAUAAAAUAAGUUCCGUUUUUAGCGAUUAAAUGAAAUAAAUACUCUAGGGAUAACAGCGUAAUAAUUUUGGAUAGUUCAUAUAGAUAAAAUAGUUUGCGACCUCGAUGUUGGAUUAGGAUUCUUUUUUGGUGAAGAA